AGCAGCCGCGGUAAUUCCAGCUCCAAUAGCGUAUAUUAAAGUUGUUGCAGUUAAAAGCUCGUAGUUGAAUUUCGGGAUCAGUUCGUUGGUCGUGCCUUUGGUAUGUACUGGUGUUACUGGUUCCUCCCUUCUGACGAACCGUCAUGUCAUUAAUUUGGUGUGGCGGGAAAUCAGGACUGUUACUUUGAAAAAUUAGAGUGUUUAAAGCAGGCUCGCGCUUGAAUACAUUAGCAUGGAAUAAUGAAAUAGGACGUUCGAUCCUAUUUUGUUGGUUUCUAGGAUUGACGUAAUGAUUAAUAGGGAUAGUUGGGGGCAUUAGUAUUCAAUUGUCAGAGGUGAAAUUCUUGGAUUUAUUGAAGACUAACUACUGCGAAAGCAUUUGCCAAGGAUGUUUUCAUUAAUCAAGAACGAAAGUUAGGGAUCGAAGACGAUCAGAUACCGUCGUAGUCUUAACCAUAAACUAUGCCGACUAGGGAUCGGAUGAUGUUAAUUUUUUAAUGUACUCAUUCGGCGCCUUACG
rnacentral:misc_RNA from 1 species